ensembl:misc_RNA 7SK 7SK RNA
GAAGAUGAGCUAAUCUGGCUGUGACAUCAUCCCAUUGGGUUGAUUGGCUAAUCUGGCUGGCUAGGCAAAUGUCCCUUUCCUUCCUCACUACUCCAUGGAUCUUCCUCCCAAAGCUAUGCAGUAGCUGGAAGACAAUGACUAUACCUGAUAGAAGGAGUCCAUCAUUGUUCAGUCAAGGAAUAUAAUAUGCUGGCAAUUUAAAUUAGAGGCAAGACUCUAAUU